rnacentral:tRNA from 1 species
GGUCGCGCCGCUCGGCGGGACGGGCGGCGCCUGCGGGGCGCUGACGUCGGGUCGCGCCCGGUUCGCGGCCU